rnacentral:misc_RNA from 1 species
AGCACGGGUAUCGCCCUGGUUAUAAGCAGCAAAGGGGCUAUACUGCAGUAAAUCAAGUUGCUAGAUUAGAUGACAUGAGCUUAUUUUCACAGUCUGAAUCUAUUUCUUCUGCCAAAGGAGGUCUCAGCAGUACUAGUAUUUCUCUAACUCCAGAGCAGGGUCCAAGUUUAAAGCUUCAAGCAACACAGUUUGAUUCACCAUCCUCAACUUCUUCAUCUGUCUCACAACCUCCUACUAUUUCUUCUUCUUAUAGCAAUUUAGUUUCCACAUUUUCUCCUCAGCUAGGGAAUCAUUUCAUUUUAUCUUGUUCUGUCAAAUCUUUUUGGUGGAUAAUUGACACUGAAGCUACUGAUCAUAUCACUUACUCAUUGUCCAAUUUUAGCACUUAUCAUUCUAUUCCUCAAAUAUUUGUUUCUCUUCCUAAUGGUGCAAAACUUUCUACUACUAUAGCUGGUUCUGUUAUUUUUUCUGAUUCCCUAGUUCUUGAUGAUGUUCUUUACUUACCUGAUUUUACUUUCAACCUUAUAUCUGUUAGCAAAGAAACAUCUUCUAACAAUAUUUCUUUUCUGUUUCAUCAAAAUCAGUCUCUCAUUCAGAGUCUGAACACCUGGAAGACGAUUGGUACAGCUGAAGCACAUCAUGGUUUAUAUGCCUUGAUCAAUCCCGCAUCUUCAACUCACUCCACUACUACUUCUCCCACUUUUCAUCAUACACUUACUGCUUCUGUCAAAUUUGAUCAUUGUCACUACAGAUUGGGUCAUCCGUCUGCUGUAAAAGUUAGGCUACUUCAACCACAUCUUCGUCAAAUUUGUUCUUUUCAUAUUGAUAGUUGUGAUGUAUGUCCUUAUGCAAAACAAAAACAUUUGCCUUUCUCUGUCAGUGAGUCACAAUUCAAUAAACCUUUUGAUCUCAUUCAUGUAGACAUU